rnacentral:rRNA from 1 species
AGGGCUUGACAUGCUUGAAGUAGGAACCUGAAAGGGGGACGACCGGUAUCCAGUCCGGAGCUUGCACAGGUGUUGCAUGGCUGUCGUCAGCUCGUGCUGUGAAGUGUUGGGUUAAGUCCCGCAACGAGCGCAACCAUCGCCCUUAGUUGCCAGCACGUAAGGUGGGCACUCUAAGGGGACUGCCAGCGACAAGCUGGAGGAAGGUGGAGAUGAUGUCAAGUCAGUACGGCCCUUACGCCCUGGGCGACACACAUGCUACAAUGGCCAGUACAAAGGGUAGCAAGACCGAAAGGUGGAGCCAAUCUCAAAAAGCUGGUCUCAGUUCGGAUUGAAGGCUGCAAUUCGCCUUCAUGAAGUCGGAAUCGCUAGUAAUGGCAGAUCAGCCAUGCUGCCGUGAAUACGUUCCCGGGUCU